rnacentral:lncRNA from 11 species
AGGCUCUUUACAGUUAAGCUUUUUCAGGGCUAGAUCACAGGUGGUCUGUCUCUGUUGUUUUAUUUCUUUCUGGGUUGUAAUGAUGGAAUUGACUUUGAGGUUGAUAUCUCUCAGUUUGUUGUAUAAGUGCUCAACCGUGGUAGCAACCAGUUGGAGCAUGUCUGAGAAACUUGGCUCGACCACUUGCUCGGAGAGGCAGAAGGUAUCAGCACUAGCAGGCUUUAUGAAAUGAACAGAAGGAAAAUAGAAGACUGCAGAACCAAAUAGUCACAGUGCUAACUUGUCAGAAGCCAUAAUAAAAUGAAGUCUAUUUCAUUUAAGUGAUUGUGUUUCUAUGAGGUCAGAUGUUGAAUUUUAAUCGAUCAAUAGUGUUCACCAAAAACAUCCAUAUGUAAUACUCGUUCUCAUUUUCAAAACAAGCUAUAAAGAAUUUAU